rnacentral:rRNA from 1 species
GAACUUAAGCAUAUCAAUAAGCGGAGGAAAAGAAACUAACAAGGAUUCCCUUAGUAACUGCGAGUGAAGUGGGAUGAGCUCAAAUUUGAAAUCUGGUAGUCUCUGGCUACCCGAGUUGUAAUCUAGAGAAGUGUUUUCUGUGCUGGACUGUGUUUAAGUUUCCUGGAUAUGGAACAUCAUAGAGGGUGAGAAUCCCGUCUUUGACACAGGCUGCCAGUACUGUGUGAUGCACUCUCAACGAGUCGAGUUGUUUGGGAUUGCAGCUCAAAAUGGGAGGUAAAUUCCUUCUAAAGCUAAAUAUUGGCGAGAGACCGAUAGCGAACAAGUACCGUGAGGGAAAGAUGAAAAGCACUUUGGAAAGAGAGUUAAACAGUACGUGAAAUUGUUAAAAGGGAAACAAUUGAAGUCAGUUGCAUCUACUUGGACUCAGCCUUACUUUGGUUUGGUGCAUUUCCUUGUGGGAUGGGCCAGUGUUCAUGUUGAUUACUGGAAAAGGGGCUAGGGAAUGUGGCUCUUUUGGGAGUGUUAUAGCUUUGGCUCAUAUACAGUAAUUAAUAUGGAGUGGUACAGCAUGCUUCGGUGGUGCUUGUGCUGGCAUAAUGGCUUUAAAUGACCCGUCUUGAAACACGGACCAAGGAGUCUAACAUGUCUGCAAGUAUUUGGGUGGUAAACUCAAAUGCGUAAUGAAAGUGAUAGCUGGGAACCCUGUAAAGGGGACACCAGUGCCCCGAGCGGAUCUUUUGUGAUGCAUCGGAGGUGGAGCAUAUAUGUUGGGACCCGAAAGAUGGUGAACUAUGCCUGAAUAGGGUGAAGCCAGAGGAAACUCUGGUGUGAGGCUCGUAGCGAUUCUGACGUGCAAAUCGAUCGUCAAAUUUGGGUAUAGGGGCGAAAGACUAAUCGAACAUCUAGUAGCUGGUUCCUGCC